rnacentral:misc_RNA from 1 species
UAUGAGCAAGCAAGCUGCUUAAGCUGGACAGACAUUGAGUGCAAGAAGAGGUCUUUAUCACCAUUUUGAUCAAGGUGAGUUCGAUCCACCGGGAAAGUAUACUUUUUCUCGAACCAGCUUCACUGUUUAGGCAGCCCAUUGUUGUUCAAUUAUCUGAGGAGGAGGAGCAACAUCUUCAUUCCUCGCUUGAUCAUUAACAAGAGCAGGACCCUUUGCUCUCUUG